ensembl:lncRNA
CUCUUGUCCUUUCCAACAAAACUGCACUCACCCAUCUCUGCAUUGCCUCCUUACCCAGGAAGUUUUGUGGUCAUACAUCUUCUCCUAACUCUGCUGCUGUUGUGAUGCAGUGAGCAUUUUGCAACUGAGGUGACUACUUAUAAGGAAUAUCUUUGAAGUCUGAGAGAAAGAGUGUUGCUCAAGUUGUUGCCUUCAAAAAUCAUUUGGAGCCAAGGAGACUGACAGAAGUCUGCAUGUGCAUUGUUCAACUGCUGGUCAGACACAAUAUAGAAACUGCACUACACUGUACACCAUUACUGUUCCUACUGUGUUUUCAUACUGAAGAUAAAUAUUUCCACAGCAUCUUUUUCCAACUAGACUUAAAAGAAACAGAAAAUCCCAGAUAAAAUGAAAGCCAUAAGUAAACAAUAGCCAUUUGUAUCUGAAGACCUGCCCUAGCUUUGGGUGUCCUCUCAGGAAACAGCAUCAGAGCCACCCCAGGUUGGCAGGAUCCUUACUUCUGCCUCUCUUCCUUCUCUGGAGGUGCACAACACUGGCACCAGCCAUAUUCCUUUGGACACUCCUUCUCCUCACCAUCAAUGGCUUGAGGCACUGCUUUUCUUUAUCUUUUACAUCACCUUUUGUUUCUGUGUAGAUGUCAGUGAUACCAUUCCCAACAGUAAGUAGCACUUCCCAUCACAGAGAGAGGUUUUACUCCAUUUUCAAGUACUGCAAAGCUACAGGUAAAACAAUGGUAAAACUGGUGAACACCAUAGAACUCAGCCUCUAUGGAACUAAGAGUUCUGAGCCCUUUGCAGCACUGCUAGCACUGCAGAAUUUUGUCAAGGGCAGAGAGACACAUGCUGAAGCAGCUAGCUGUGUUCAGAGAGUUUGUGCAUGGCAGCACAUAUGCCUAUUAAAAACAUUUGCAAGGUCUUUUCUCUGGGGGAUUAUGCUGGGUGUUACACCUGGCUAUUUUUAGGCAUCUGUAUUAUUUGGCCAAGAGCCAAACACUUCUCCAUGUUAACUGUAAGGAAAAUCAUACAGGAAAUCCAUAAGAAACUUACUACUGAUGAUUUCCUGUGAAUUGUUUUAAGUAUAUGAUUAAUGAAGCUUAAUACUCAUGUGGUAUAAAAGCAGCCUUUCCCCAGAGGAACAGUACCUGCUGGCUUUUCCAGAAGAUGUCAGUGGUUCUGCCACUCAGAGAAGACUUACGGAGAAGGAGUUUGACAGCAAGUGCUGUAACAGAAAGACAAUGAACAUAUCGCCCCUCCCUCAACAAUGACUAGUCUGUCUGCUUGGCAAAUGUAUCAUUACUGUAAGUGUUUGUUAGGAACAAUAAACUUGCAUAAACUUAUUUGUAGCUCAGGCACUCUAACUAGAAAUCUAAGCCAACAGCAUAUCUUAAGUUUUCGUUUAAUUUAGUCUUUUCC